AAAUCUUUGACCUCAAAUCAGGUAGGAAUACCCGCUGAACUUAAGCAUAUCAAUAAGCGGAGGAAAAGAAACCAACCGGGAUUGCCUCAGUAACGGCGAGUGAAGCGGCAAAAGCUCAAAUUUGAAAUCUGGGGUCUUCGACCUCCGAGUUGUAAUUUGAAGAAAGUAUCUUUGGAUUUAGCCUUUUUCUAAGUUCCUUGGAACAGGACUUCAUAGAGGGUGAGAAUCCCGUAUGGAGAAGUGUCUAUUUCUAUGUAAAGUGCUUUCGACGAGUCGAGUUGUUUGGGAAUGCAGCUCUAAGUGGGUGGUAAAUUCCAUCUAAAGCUAAAUAUUGGCGAGAGACCGAUAGCGAACAAGUACAGUGAUGGAAAGAUGAAAAGAACUUUGAAAAGAGAGUGAAAAAGUACGUGAAAUUGUUAAAAGGGAAGGGCUUCAGAUCAGACUUGAUGUUUAGUGAUCCAUCUUCCUUUUUGGUUGGUGCACGCGCUUUUCAUUGGGCCAACAUCGAUUUGGAUGGUAGGAUAAUGCCGUUGGAAUGUAGCUUCACUCGUGAAGUGUUAUAGACUUCGGUGAUACUGCCCAUCUGGAUCGAGGACUGCGUCUUUUGACUAGGAUGUUGGCGUAAUGAUCU
rnacentral:rRNA from 1 species